rnacentral:lncRNA from 1 species
GAGGUAUUUCAAAUUUCAUUAAAAGAUCUGCCUGCAUCUUCAAAGAAGGAUGGAUGCUCCACAAGGUCAAGUCAGACAUUGAAGGAAUCAUAAGCAGAAUCUCUUACUUGAGUCAACGGUUACAGGUCUAUGGCAUAAAACAACUAACAGAUGGAGCAAGCUCAAGUGCUUCAUCCAGGAGGCAACAGUUAAGGCAGUCUUAUCCUCGUAUGGUGGAAACCAAUGUUGUUGGGUUGGAUAAUGACAUAAAAAAAUUGGUCUCGGUUCUUGUAGACAACGAAAGUUACAGAGUUGUUUCCAUAUGUGGCAUGGGUGGUCUGGGAAAGACUACUCUGGCUAAGAAGGUUUACCAUCAUCCUCAAGUAAGAGAUCAUUUCAAGUACUUUGUUUGGGCGUACAUUUCUCAGCAAUGCGAGGAAAGAACCGUGUGGGAAGGAAUUUUAUCCAGCCUAAAUCCUAAAUAUGAGAAGGGUGGGAUAUUGCCCAAAUUGGGCGAUCAAGAUCUGGCUAAAAACUUGUAUGAAUUCCUGAAAGAAAACAAAUGCCUAGUGGUACUCGAUGACAUUUGGAAAGCUGAAGAUUGGGAUGCUAUUAAGCCUGCCUUCCCAAUGGAGGAGGAGACAGGUAGCAAAAUACUGCUCACCUCUCGUAACAAGGAUGUAGCUUGGCACGCGGAUCCAAGAGGUUUCCUGCACGAACUACAGCUCUUAACAGAUGAAGACGGUUGGAAAUUGUUCCAACAUAUAUGUGAUUCUGCAGGUAAUAUAUAUCUUAGCUCACUUUAUAAUUUUAAAUUUUGGGUCAAAUAUGUGCAUUUCAUUCUCAUUUCAUAUUAAUUUUUUACAAUGUAAAGAAAAAAGAAAUGUAUCAUUUUAAUUUGUAUAGCAUAUGCACUCUCGAAAUGCCCCAACAUUCAAUUUUUCUCAAGAUGUUAUUAUUAGUUCUAGCCAUACUUAUGAGAUUUCUAUUGAUCUAUAGAUGUAUACCUUUAUUUUUUGUUCUUUCUUGUAAAACUUCUCUUCAAGAUUUCUUUAAGCAAUUUCUGCAAAGUAAAAAUACCCAAUAUUCUUCUAUAAGAAAAACAAAAAGAAAUAUUUUAUUGUUAUUUUUUUGGCAACAUAUAUUAAUUAGGAUGUUUGUUUAUUUCUGGGCUAUAUAUGAUGACUUUUAUUGCUAGUUUAAGUUUUUGCUAUAGUAUGUUAAUUUGAGAUUGUAUAUAUCAAUAUAGUUUUCUUGUUCCCUGUUUUUUGCCAGACUAUGUAAUUGAGGAAAAAAUGGAAGAGUUGGGGAAGGACAUGGUUAAACAGUGUGCUGGGUUGCCAUUAGCCAUUGUUGUUCUAGGAGGAGUUUUGGUUACAAAGCAUUCAUUAAAUGAUUGGCAAAUAGUGCAGGAAAAUUUGAAGUCAUACUUAAGGAAAGAUAGAAGUAAAAAAAAACGGAAAGAUGGAGGUUGGGGAAUCCAUGAAGCAAUAGCUUUAAGUUAUGGCAAUUUGCCACCCUAUUUAAAACCAUGCUUCUUGUAUUUGAGUGUUUUCCCGGAAGAUUACGAGAUUUCUGUUGGUAAAUUGGUCAAAUUAUGGGUGGCAGAAGAUAUUGUGCCAUUAGAAGAAAGUGAAGAAGAUGGAGAAGAAAUGAUGGAAGAUGUGGCAGAAGGUUACUUAAAUGAGCUUGUAGAAAGAUACAUGGUGCUAGUGGGAAAACGAGAUGCAAACUCAAAGAUCAAAACAUGCCGGAUGCAUGAUCUUAUCAGAGAUUUCUGCUUGUUGAAAGCAAAACAAGAAAAUUUCAUUUGCGUUCUUGAUUGUCUUCAAAUGGAGCAAGCUGAUGUCAGCAGCUUGUCCCCUCCAAUUGGUAAAUUUCGCAGGAUUGGCAUUAAUGAUUUGAAUCUGAUAAAUGGGAUUACAAACCCACAUCUCCGAUCUGCAUUGUUCUUUGAUCAAAACUUUUUGGGAGAGUUUAAGGAAAGGUCUUAUGUCAUCAAAUGGCUGGUGAAAAUAGAAGAUAGCAUAAAUAGUACUAUUGUUAAGGGUACUUUGUUGGCAUUUUUAAUCCCUUUUUUAGUAUGUGAGUUAAGGCAUAAAACUCGAGGGUUAACGAGACACAUUUGCAACAAUUUCAAAUUGCUCAGAAUCCUAGAUUUUGCAGAUGCAGAUAUUCCACUUGUCUGCAUAUUAUUAAGUGAUAUAGGUAGUCUCAUCCAUUUGAGAUUUUUGAGUCUUGGGAACUGUGCUUUUGUGGCAAUGUUGCCUUCAUUUAUAAGCAAAUUAAGGUGCUUGCAAAGCUUGGAUCUAAGAGAUUGUAUUGGGGUUUAUGUACCUAAUGUUUUAUGGAAAUUGGAGCGGUUGAGACAUUUAUAUCUCCCUGAUCAGGUUUGUGCGAGAACCAAAUUGAAAUUGGAUACUUUGAAAAAUCUGCAAACGCUUGUGAAUUUCAACACCAAAAAUUGUUAUCUUAAAAAUAUUUGUUACAUGAAAUAUCUUAGAGAGUUGAUGAUAACUGUUCCUUUUAUUGUUGAAAACUUUAGAGAAGACUUGAAUUUGAAUCCACCGAUCAUCACAAGCAAGCAUCUUCGAUCCUUAUCCAUUUCAAAAAAUAAAAGUACAGAUCCAAGGCAUUUGACAUACCUGCUCUCUAGCUGCCUUAAUAUCCGUGAGUUGCAUUUAUCUGUCGAGAUAAGGAAGUUACCUCAGAACAUCCCUUCAAAUAUUGCUCACAUUUCCUUGGAUUGGGCUAGACUCAGUGAAGAUCCAUUGCCAACACUAGAAAAGCUACCUAAUCUAAGGAUUCUUGAAUUAGGACGAGAUGCGUUCCUCGGAGAGGUGAUGAUUUGUUCCGCCCAAGGUUUUCCUAUGCUCAACUCUUUGAGUAUUUUUUUGCAAGCAAAUUUAGAGGAGUUGAGGGUGAGUGAGGGAGCUAUGCCGAAUCUACACCAUCUGAUGAUUGCAAAUUGUAGAAACUUGAAGAUGCUGCCAAACGAGUUGAGGUUCAUCACAACCCUCAAAGAAUUGAAGAUCGAAAAGAUGCCAAAAACAUUCAAAGAUAAACUGGUUGAAGGAGGAGAAGAUUCAUACAAAGUCCAACAUGUGCCUUCUAUCAUAUUUCAAAAUUGUGAUUAUUGAAUUAUGAUCAUCAGGUAAUCUUUUAUUACCUAUUUCUAAGCUUAUUUUCUUUUGAAAUUAAAGAAUUGAAAUAGGAUUGAAUUAUGACCAUCAAAAUUUUUCUUUGGGUUAUUUUCUCGAGAAAAAUUUAUGUUAGAAAUUGAUAUUGUGAUUGAUUUCCAUUUUCUUAAGAAAAGAAAAGACAAUAUUUGCCACGUCAUCAACACUAUCCGUUGUGGUAUUAACUGAAACAGAACAUCGGUCAUUUCGUCACUUGAUAACCUCCUCCUCUCCUUUCUCAUUCCCACUCUAUCCUCUCUUUUCUUUUCCUGGUUUCUAUGUGCUUCCGUCAAUGGAUUCCAACACAAUCUUCUUCUCUUCAAAAUUCCAAACCCCAACUCUCCCACCUUCUUCUCCAUUGCGCUCUUGCACUAACCUCCCUCUAAUCAGCCGAUAAUUCCUUGGUUUCAAUCACUCUCUCAGGCCCCCAGGCGGUGGUUCUUCUCUCAGAAAGAAACACAAAAACUUGGGGUUUCUGCGCCUCCACUCUCCUCUCUUUAUCCUCAGAGCUUCUAUCGACUCCAAUUUGGUUCUCGUUGUCAUCGGUGUCACCGCAUUAUCGGCUUUAUAAGUCUGCAAGCACGCAUUAGAGCUAAUAUCUUUACUCUACUUGUUUCUAGGUGAAGUUGUGAAAAGGAAGCAACAAGAAUGUUUCUCUUGAAAGAUAUCCCCAAUUUGCAGAAGCUCUUUUUAGCUGUGUGGAGACUGGAGUGGAUUGGUGAGAUGAAGCCUAAGACUCUACUUGUAUUGAUAUGUUAUGUUGUAGAAGUAUUGAAUCUUUGUUUAUGACUUGUGUUGAUUUGUUAUAUAUGUUGUAGACGUAUUGGAUCUUUUUUUUCGACUUGUAUUGGUAUGUUAUGUUGUAGAAGUAUGGACUCUUUGUUUAUGACUUGUAUUGAUUUGUUAUGUUGUGGAGUGCGGACUCUUUGUUUUAUGGUUUGGCAAAUAAGAGAAAAAAAUCCAUCCAUGCCUGUGGUCUACCUGUACCGUAACAGGGAACUGCUUGUUCUUUCUAGCAAUACAUAAUCGAAAAUAGCUUCCUAUUUUGGGCCUAAUGGCUUUGAGCCCAAUGGAGCUUAAAUCAAGACCCAUAACUCGGUAGCCUCCGUUUGAAACGAACGUGUGGUUAACGAUGGGCCCAAUAUGUCGGUUACCGAUUUUUUUUAUAUAAGAGGACCCUACCUAACUCAAUCGAAAUCAAAAGGCGAAAUGGGAAACGGCAAUUCCUUCCUAGUUCAGCCCAGUUUUUUGCAACUUGUCUCGAAAGCUUUCAAAAGUCUUAAUGAGCAAGCCCAUUUCUUCUUUUUUUUUGCCAUUUUUGGAGUGAGGUUUGGGUCUGGACAACUUUAACUAUUAUAAGAUGACAUGGAUUGAUCUUUUAAGUCCCCUCUCUACAAUUAACCAUAUCUCAAUGAGACAAGAUUGUAAAGGAGUAAAUAUGCACAAACUAAAAUUAAAUAUUUACCCAAACAAAAAGGAAACCUAGAUUAAGUAAAGUUUAACUAUCCAUUGUACAUUUCUUAGAGUAAUGAAACCAAAAUUAAAGAAAAACAGGAGUGGACGAAAAUAAACUUUUACUUUUUCCCUCAUGAAGGGAUAGUAGGUUUCUUCAGUGAACAACCUUUAUUUUUUUUCUACAUUCCCAUUCUUUACUUAAACCACAGGUGGGAAAAGAGAAUGAACGGAUUCCUUCAAAUAUUAUUUUCUUGUUCUAUUGGCUCAUUUCACAGGACAAAGGUCAUCAAUUAAAUCUUUGUCCAUGUUAGCUGUUUUUCCCAAAUCCUUUAUGGAGAACUCCUUGGAUGAUCAAAUCUUUGUUGAUUGCAAUGUAGCUAUGUCUUUUCUUGUUAACAAUAUGUCAUUAACAUACAACACUAGAAAAAUGACAACACUUUCUUGUUUUCUUGUAUACAUAAGGAUUAUCUUUUUUUUUUUUAAUUUUUUUGAAUUAUCAUAUUUGUUUAUGAUUAUAUUCUCGAAAUACAUGUUUAAAUAUUUAUUAGUAUUAAUAUUAAUAAAAAUGAUCUAAUUCGUAAGUAUAUAAGAUUUCUAAUUGUAUCAAAUGACAUUCAUUAAAAAUAUUUUUAAAUAUAAAAAUUAAUAAUAUUUAUCUAAUGUAUAAAAAUUAAUAAAUAUUUGCGAAUAUGUCUUACUAUGAAAUUUCUCUUCUUUGGAAGAAGAUCUGGUUAGGUUAUGCUCCUUGUAGAGUUUAGAUAUUUGAUUGAUAAUAAUAUGUGAGAAAAAAUAAUAGUGAAAGUUGGGCUAGUUAAAUGGAAAUUAAUUGGUGAGAUCAAAUGAUGUGCGUGUUACGUAAAAAACACCUUGAAACUGUCAAUCAUCCUUUUUUUAUUUGUGAUGAGUCAUGGUACAUACGGGGUCUAUGGCUUUCCGAUUGGAAUUAUAGUUGGCUUAUCUCCUUCGUAAUUCUAAAAGCUUUUUUCUAGCUUGGGCUUCAGUGUGUCUUGAUAAGGAUAAAGUGAAGAUAUGGAUAUUAGCUUCCUAUGCAAUUUCAUGGUCGAUGUGGUUAUUUAGAAAUGUUAUUGUUUUAAUGAGAAGAGUUGGGAUGCCAAGCAAUUACAUGAUUUGAUCAAAUCAAGGAUUGCUCUUUGGAGUAAACCCUAGUGGCCAGAGUUGUUAGAGACCUAUGAAGAUACAUUCAGAUGGUCGAGUCUUGUGUCCAUUGCUCCAAACCAGCCAGAGAGACACUGACACGGGAGGCUCCAAUGUUGAGUUGGGUUAAGUUUAAUGUGGAUGGCGCAUUAGUUACGAAUCCGGAAAAACAUUUUUUAGUGAAAGUCAUUCAAUUCAUUUAGAAUUUUUAUCUUCAAAUUGGAUAAAUUUUAUUAAUAUUUAUGAUAAAAGAAUUUACAAUGACAAUUUAGGAAUAUAAUAAAUAAAAAUUUUUAAAUAUUUUCCAACAUUUAUACUUUUGUAGUACACGUAAAUACUUCAUUUAUUCUUUUGAAAUAAUAAUUAUAUGUCGAUACAUAUGUUUCUAAAAUAUAAAGUUAAAGCAUAAAUAAUUGAAAUUUUGUAACAUCAAUCUACAAAUUAUUCAAAUAUUAUUAGAAUAAGGAAAAGUAUUCUUUAAUGAAAAUCAUUCAAUGCAAUUAGAAUUUUUAUUUAUAAAUUGGAUAAAUUUUAUUUAUACUUUUAAUGAAAAACAGCCAUUUGAUGCAAUUAGAAUACUUAUUUACUAAUUAUAUAAAUCUUAAUAAAAAUAAUUAAAUUAAUAAUUUAAAAAUAUAAUAAAUAAAUAUAACUAUCUUCAUUAAAUAAAAUUUUUACAAUAUCCGUAUUUAUGAUUUUGUUUUUCUGUUAAAAUAAAUAGAGAAGAACAAUUUAUCCUAUUUCCCUCAAAUUCACUUUUCAACUUCUACUAAAUCCAAGCAAAAGUCUUUUUUUUUUUUCUCUACGCAGCGCUUGGUCCUGCUCACUUUUCCGCCCAGCUAAGCAUUAAUAAAGAGAACACAGGGCUAUGUAUGUCUGGUCGCUGUGGCAUCAAUCAGCAUCGAAAUUAAUGACUAAGACAAAGGUAGGUGAGAAACGAAUGGCUAAGAAAAAAGUACGUAGAAAACUAAAGGCUGAGAAAAAGGUAGAUAAGAAAAUAGAGUGAACAACCCAUGUUUGAUUAGGGUGUCACUUUCUUAUAUACAGUGUUGCAAUUUUAGUUCAUAAUUUUGUUUCAAGUGUGUCAGUAACAUCUGAUAUUAUAACUUUAACAUCAUCAAUUUGAAUAUUUUAUGCCUUUAAGGGGCAAAAUUAUUUUAUUAUGGGAAACUAAAAUUAUUGCAAAAUGCUCUAGACACAAUACAUGAAUUUUUGUUUAACGAUAAUAAUCAUGUGCAAUAAAUAUGAAUACUUAUUUUAUGUAUUCUAAUGGUUUUUUUUUUUAAUUUAUGGUUUCAUAUCAUAUGAUGAUUUCUUUCAAGUUCAUAAUCUUUUUAUUGAUCUAGCUAAUUUUAAAAUUUAUUUUUAUAUUAUACAAAAUCAAAAUUAUAAGAAUGAUGCAAGUUGAUGAAGUAUGAUUUUGAAUAACUUUAUUAAGGUUAGUAAAUCAAAAUGAUCUUUUUUAUUCAAACCGAAAACAACUCGAAUCAAAAGAAAUUUGAUGUGAAAUGCUCUAAAUUCAAAGUGAUCCAAACUCAAAAUGAUUCAAAUUUUCAUUAAUUCAAAAUAACCAAACUCAAAAUGAUAUGAACCUAUAUCUGACGUGACCUGCUCAAUUAGCCAUCUCUGUAUCAAAGGCUACUAAACCCUUAUCGUAAGAUUAUUUUAACUAAUGUUGAUUUGAGUUGACCGUCAUGGUUGUUAUAAGUCGACUGAAGGGAAGCAAAUCCUUGUCCUGAAAAUUAUCCUAGAAAAUCAACCAACAAGGCCUCCCCCUCUUCCGCCCUAACUUUUUCCAUUCAGCUCUCAAGACUGAAGAGCAGCUUCGGCAAAUAUCUCCCACAGUGCCUUAUCCUGAUCCAUCAUGGUAAGAUACCAAUUCAAGCUUCCUUUCAAAUUCCAAUGCUUCAUGCUCAUUUCUCUCUCUCUCUUCCUGUCCUUUGCUUUUGCCUUUCUUGUAUUUUGUUUUAUGAUUAAAAGAUAGUGAAUUUCGUACUUACAAAAGAAAAUGAAAAGGGAUUAAGGAAAUGCUUAGGCGAUAAACUUCGCCCAGCUGCCUCCAUGUGGUAUAUUCGGCUCUCUACUAAGCUCCUUUCUAGCUACUGAAUAUUUUCAGAUCACUCCACAUAACCCAUGCACUGUCUCCUUCAAGUCUGCAGACUGGCAGUUAAAUCUAAUAUCUUUACGUUUUCCAGGUGAAAAAGAAUCUACAAGCUUGUUUCUAUUGAAAGAUAUCCCCGAUUCGCAGCAUCUCUUUAAGUUGAGUGGAGAGCGGAGUGGAUUGGUGAGAUGAAGCCUAAGACUAGACUUGUAUUCAUUUGUUAUGUUGUGUAAGUAUUGACUCUUUGUUUAUGACUUCCUCAUGGCUUGGCAGAAAAAAGGGAAAAAAAUUUAUCUGUCCCUUUGUCUAUGUAUAAGAGGGAACUGCUUGUUCUUUCUAGUAAAUAUUGUGUGGUUGGCAAUACAUCCAAACUAGCUUGCUAUUUUGGGCCUAAUGGCCUUAGGCCGAGCGGAACACAAAUCAAGAUCCGUAACUCGUUAGCGUUCGCUUCAUGUUCAUGUAACGACAAAAACACCAGAUUUUCUUUGUUGAGAGAAAGCAGGGCCUAACAUAUGGCGGAAUCUGUUGUGUCCAAUGUUGCAGCAAGACUUGAGGACUUAGUAAUUGAAGAAGCUAAAUUCUUGCGGGGCGUGGCUGAUCAAGUUAAGCAUUUGCAAAUGGAGCUCGUUUGGAUGAAGAGCUUCUUAAAAGAGGCAGAUUCGAGACAAGCUGAGAAUGAGAUGGUUCGUAUGUGGGUUGCUGAAAUUAGAGAGAUUGCUUAUGAUGCUGAGGAUGUCAUUGAAACUUUUGCUCUCAAAAUUGCAUCCAGAAGGAGGGGAGGUAUUUCGAAUUUCAUCAAAAGAUCUGCCUGCAUCUUCAAAGAGGGAUGGAUGCUCCACAAGGUCAGGUCAGACAUUGAAGGAAUCAUAAGCAGAAUCACUGACUUGGUUCGACGGUUACAGUCCUAUGGAAUAAAAGAAUUGUCAGAUGGAGCAAGCUCAAGUUCUUCAUCUAAGAGGCAACAGUUAAGGCAGUCUUACCCUCAUAUGAAGGAACCCAAUGCUGUUGGGUUGGAUAACGCCAUAAAAGAAUUGGUCUCGGUUCUUGUAGAUGAGGGAAGGCAUUUCCGCGUUGCUUCCAUAUGUGGCAUGGGUGGUCUAGGAAAGACUACUCUGGCUAAGAAGGUUUACCAUCAUGCUCAAGUGAGAAAUCAUUUCAAGCACUUUGUUUGGGCGUACAUUUCUCAGCAAUGCCAAAGAAGAACUGUGUGGAGAGGAAUUUUAUCCAGCCUAGGUCUUAUAGAUGAGAAGGGUGGGAUAUUGCUAGACAUGGGAGAUCAAGAUCUGGCUGCAAAAUUGUAUGAAUUCCUGAAAGAAAACAAAUGUCUAGUGGUACUUGAUGACAUUUGGACAACUGAAGAUUGGGAUGCUAUUAGCCCAGCCUUCCCAAUGGAGGAGGAGACAGGUAGCAAAAUACUGCUCACCUCUCGUAACAAGGAUGUAGCUUGGCAUGCAGACUCAAGAGGUUGCCUCCACGAACUACAGUUCUUAACAGAUGAAGACAGUUGGAAAUUGUUCCAACAUAUUGCGUUUCCUAGAAGUGAUUCUGCAGGUAAUAUAUAUCUUAGCUCAAUUUAUAAUUUUAAAUUUUGGGUAAAAUAUGUGCAUUAUUUCAUUCUCAUUUCAUAGAAAUUUUUUACAAUUUAAAGAAAGGAGAAAUGCAUCAUUUUAAUUUGUGUAGCAUAUGCACUCUCGAAAUGCCCCAAUAUUCAUUUGUCUCUAGAUGUUAUUAUUAGUUCUAUCCAUGCCCCAAAUUCUGAGAUUUCUAUUGAGCUCUAGAUGUUUACCUUUAUUUUUUUUCUUUCUUGUCAAAUUUCCCUUCAAAAUUUCUUUAAGCAAUUUCUGCAAUCUAAAAAUACCCAAUAUUCUUUUAUAAGAAAAACUAAAAGAAAUAUCUUAUUGUUAUUUUUUUUUGACAACAUAUAUUAAUUAGGUGUGUGUUUAUUUGUGGGCUACAUAUGAUCGAUGACUUUUAUUGCUAGUUUAAGUUUUUUCUAUAAUAUGUUAAUUCGAGAUUGUAUAUAUCAAUAUAGUUUUGUUUUUUCUAUUAUUUCCCAGGCUAUGUAAUUGAGGAAAAAAUGGAAGAGUUGGGAAAGGACAUGGUUAAACAGUGUGCUGGGUUGCCAUUAGCCAUUGUUGUUCUAGGAGGAAUUUUGGUUACAAAGCAUUCAUUAAAUGAUUGGCAAAUCGUGCAUGAAAAUGUGAAGUCAUACUUAAGAAGAGGUAGAAGUUGGGGAAUCCAUGAAGCAAUAGCUUUAAGUUAUGAUAAUUUGCCGCCUCAUUUAAAACCAUGCUUUUUGUAUUUGAGUGUUUUCCCGGAGGAUUACAAGAUUCAUGUUGGUAAAUUAAUCAAAUUAUGGGUGGCAGAAGAUAUUGUGUCACUAGCAGACAGUGAAGAAAAUGGAGAAGAAAUGAUAGAAGAUGUAGCAGAAGGCUACUUAAGUGAGCUUGUAGAAAGAUACAUGGUGCUAGUGGGAGAACGAGAUGUAAGCUCAAAGAUCAAAACAUGCUGGAUGCAUGAUCUUAUCAGAGAUUUCUGCUUGUUGAAGGCAAAACAAGAAAAUUUCACCUAUGUUCUUGAUCGUUUUCAAAUGGAGCAAGCUGAGGCUAGCAUCUUGUCCCCUUUAAUUAGUAAAGUUCGCAGGCUUGGCAUUAAUGAUUCCUUUCUGAUAAAUAGGAUUAAAAGCCCACAUCUCAGAUCUGCAUUGUUCUUUGAUCAAUACUUUGAGAGGGAGCUUUUGGAAAGGUCUACGCUCUCAAAAUGGCUGGGGGAAGAAGACUAUGGGGAAAGUUUUACUAUUGUUGAUGCAUGUUUAGAAUCGCUUCGUUGGGUCUCUUGGCUCUGUGAGUUAAGGCAUAAAACUCGAGGGUUAACGAGAUACAUUUGCAACAAUUUCAAAUUGCUUAGAAUCCUAGAUUUUGGAGAUGCGAAUAUUUUAUUUUUGCGCAUAUUAUUACUAAGUGAUAUAGGUAGUCUCAUCCAUUUGAGAUUUUUGAGUCUUGGCCGAUGUGCUUUCGCGGCAAUGUUGCCAUCAUUUAUAAGCAAACUAAGGUUCUUGCAAACCUUGGAUUUAAGAGAUUGUGUUGGGGUUUAUGUGCCUAAUGUUUUAUGGAAAAUGGAGCGGUUGAGGCAUUUGUAUCUCCCUCAAAAAAUGGUUAGUAUGAGAACCAAAUUGAAAUUGAAUACUUUAAAAAACUUGCAAACGCUUGUGAAUUUUAAUACUAAGAAUUGUUAUCUUGAAAAUAUUUACUGCAUGAAAUAUCUUAGGGAAUUGGGGAUAAGAACACCCUUCAUUGUUGAAAACUUUAAGGAGGACUCGAAUUUGAACACGCCGGUUAUCACAAGUAAACAUCUUCGAUCCUUGUCCAUUAUUAAGAAUGAUGAUGAUCACGAAAGUAUAGAUCCAAGGCAUUUGACAUACCUGCUCUCUAGCUGCCAUAAUGUCUGUGAGUUGCAUUUAUCUGCCGAGAUAAGGAAGUUACCAGAACCUCAGCACAUCCCUUCAAAUAUUGCUCACAUUUACUUGGCUAGGGCUAUGCUCGAUGAAGAUCCAUUGCCAACACUACAGAACCUACCUAAUCUAAGGAUUCUCGAAUUAGAAGAAUCUGCAUUUGUCGGAAAGGUGAUGAUUUGUUCCGCACAAGGUUUUCCUCUGCUCCACUCUUUGAGUAUUAUUUCUCAGACAAAUUUAGAGGAGUUGAGGGUGAAUGAAGGGGCAAUGCCCAAUCUACACCAUCUGAGGAUUGCAGAUUGUAGAAAGUUGAAGAUGCUGCCAAAUGAGUUGAGGUUCGUCACAACUCUCAAAGAAUUGAAGAUUGAAGGGAUGCCAAAAGCAUUCAAAGAUAAAUUGGUUGAAGGAGGAGAAGAUUCAUACAAAGUUCAACAUGUGCCUUCUAUCAUAUUUCAAAAUUGUGAUUAUUGAAUUAUGAUCAUCAGGUAAUCUUUUAUUACCCAUUUCUAAGCUUACUUUCUUUUGAAAUUAAUGAAGUGAAAUUGAUUGAUAUGAUCAACAAUAUUUUGAUAUCAAUUCCUUUUUUCAUUUGUUGUGAAAAAUUUUUCUUUAUCAAGGUAAUGCACCAUGUUCUUUCUUUCUUUUUUUUUUUGGUUCUUUCAUCAUUUACGAUCUUAAUCUCUUGAAAUUGUUCUUAGAUUACAUUUUUUGUUUUAUCAUUUAUGACUGUUCUUUCUUUUGGUCAUUUCCUCGAGAAAAAUUUUAUCUAGAAAAUUGAUAUUGUGAUUGACUUCCAUUUUCUUAAGAAAAUAAAAGACAAUGUUUGCCACGCCAGCAACACUAUCCGUUGUUGUAUUAACUGAAACAGAACAUCGAUCAUUUCGUCACUUGAUACCCUCCUCCUCUCCUUUCUCAUUCCCACUCUAUCCUCUCUUUUCUUUUCCUGUUUCCUAUUUGCUUCCGUCAAUGGAUUCCAACGCAAUCAUCUUCUCUUUAAAAUUCCAAACCCCAACUCUCCCACCUUCUUCUCCAUUGCUCUCUUCCACUAACCCCCCUCUAAUCAGCCGAUAAUUCCUUGGUUUCAAUCACACUCUCAGGCCUCCCGACGGUGCUUCUUCUCUCCGAAAGAAACACCAAAACUUGGGGUUUCUCCGCCUCCACUCUCCUCGCUUUAUCCACAGAGCUUCUGUCGACUCCAAUUUGGUUCUCAUUGUCGUUGGUGUCACUGCGCAUUAUCGGCUUUAUAAGUCUGCAAGCACUGAUUAGAGCUAAUAUCUUUACUCUACUUUUUUCCAGGUGAAGUCGUGAAAAAGAAGCCACAAAGCUUGUUUCUCUUGAACGAUAUUCCCAAUUCGCAGAAGCUCUUUUUAGUUGUGUGGAGACUGGAGUGGAUUGGUGAAUGAAGCCAAAGACUCUACUUGCAUUGAUAUGUUUAUGUUGUACCAGAAUUGACUCUUUGUUUAUAACUUGUAUUGAUUUGUUAUGUUGUACUUGUACAAGUAUUGACUCGUUGUUUGUGACUUGUAGUGAUUUGUUAUGUUGUGGAGUAUCAACUCUUGGUUUAUGAGCUCCUUGCGGUUUGGCAGAUAAAGGGGAAAAAUUCAUCUUUCCGUCCCAUUGCUCUCUAUGUAUAACAGAGAACUGCUUGUUCUUUCUAGCAACACAUCCAUCCAAAAUAGAUUGCUAUUAUGGGCCUAAUGACCCAUAACUCGUUAAACGAAUGUGUGGUUAGGGUUGGGCCGAAUAUGUCGGUUUCAGAAUUUUUAUAUUAUGGGACUCAACGCGAUCGAAAUCGAAAAGCGAAAUGGGCAACGGCAAUGCCUUCCUGGUUCAGCUCAUUUUUCAGCUACCUGUCCUAAAAGCCUUCAGAAUUCUCCACUUAUACCGUAAAUUUUCUACUAAUUCAAUUCAUUAGAAAAUCCCAGUUAUUCCAUAGUUUUAAUUCCUUCCCUGACUGUCGACUUGACGUAAGCUUCAAUAUUAGAGUUUUUAACUUCAGUUUUGUGUUUCCAUUUCUCUUUUAUUUUCUUUUAUUUCCCAAUCGCAAUUAUUUGAAAUUAUUAUUAAUUUUUGGUCCAGAAUUUAAAUUAAUAUUAUCAUUCAUAAUUCAAAGCGUUUGGCUGGAUCAUCCAUGUUCUGAUGUCUGUUUGUCUAUUCAUUUGUCUUGCAUAAAAAUUUUCUUUUAUUAAGAUAGUGCUCUAUGUUAAUCUUUCUUUCUUCCUUGUUUUAUAUUUGUUGAGAUUAUUUUAAUAUCAAAUUUUAUUAAGGCCCUUUUCUCUUCUAGAAAAAUUUUGCCUCAGAAAUUGAUUUAAUAAUUUUCCAUUUCUUUUAAAAAACCGAAAAGACAAUAUUUAUCAACGGAGCAUGUCUUUUUAACUUUCACUAUUUUCUUCUUUUUUUUAGUUGUUUUUUAUUUUUUAUUAUUUAGAGUGAGAUUUGAGUGUGGACUAUUAUAAGAUGACGUGAAUAGAUCUUUAAGUCCCCUUUCUACAACUAACCAUAUCUUAAUGAGACAAGAUUUAAACUAAAAUUAAAUAUUUACCCAAAACAAAAAAGAAACCUAGACUAAGUAAAGUUUAACUAUCUCUUGUAUUUCUUAAGAGUAAUGAAAGAAAAACAGGAGUGUACGAAAAUAAACUUUUACUUUUUCCCUCAUAAAGGGAUAGUAGGUUUCUUCAGUGAACAACCUUUACUUUUUUCUACAUUCCCAUUCUUUACUUAAACCACAGGGGGUGGGAAAAGAGAAUGAGCGGAUUCCUUCGAAUAUUAUUUUCUUGUUCUAUUGACUCAUUUCACAGGACAAAGGUCAUCAAUUAAUUGUAGCCCACGUCACUUCAAUCUUGCAUGCAACUUAAUCGAUCAAAGCAAUGGAGCCAAUAUAUAUUUCUCUUGCCGCCAGGUCAUUGCUUCUAAUGGUAGUUUAAGAAUUUAUUCCCCAAGGAAUUUUGGACGAAGCUCACUUUUGUUGGGGAAUCGCUGCUUAGACCGUUCCACAAGCAAUCAUAUUAUUCUAAAGUUGCAAUCGAGAAAUAUAAUAAUGGUAAUCGCAGUUAUAAAUUGAUGAAAAUAAACACACAGAUUUCACCAGGCUUUCUUUGUUGAGAGAAAAAAGAACGUAACAUAUGGCGGAAGCUGUUGUGUCCAAUGUUGCAGCAAGACUUGGCGAGUUAGUAACUCAAGAAGCAAAAUUCUUGUGGGGGGUGGAGGACCAAGUUAAGCGUUUGCAAACGGAGCUCGUUUGGAUGAAGAGCUUCUUGAAAGAGGCAGAUUCGAGACAAGCUGAAGAUGAGAGGGUUCGUUUGUGGGUUACUGAAAUUAGAGAUAUUGCUUAUGAUGCUGAGGAUGUCAUUGAAACGUUUGCUCUCAAAAUUGCAUCCAAAAGGAGGGGAGGUAUUUCCAAUGUCAUCAAAAGAUCUGCUUGCAUCUUCAAAGAAGGAUGGAUGCUCCACAAGGUCAGGUCAGACAUUGAAGGAAUCAUAAGCAGAACCACUGACUUGGUUCGACGGUUACAGUCCUAUGGAAUAAAAGAAUUGUCGGAUGGAGCAAGCUCAAGUUCUUCAUCUAAGAGGCAACAGUUAAGGCAGUCUUACCCUCAUAUGAAGGAACCCAAUGCUGUUGGGUUGGAUAACG